GGUGAAGUAACGAGGAAAUGUGUUUUGAAUGUCAUAACAGAAAGCAUGAGCGACGAAUGUGUGCAAAGAUUAUGUCCGUAGUUAGCAAGCUGUCAUGAAAUUUGAUUUGCGGUUCAGAAUAUUGGAGAGGUUAGCUAAGUACUCAUGGCUUGUUUUUUUAGAAGGCACAUCGCAUCGAAGCUCUCGAAGGCUUUGUGGCAACCAGAGGAGACCUUCAUUUCAUCUAUCUCCGCCAUUCCCGUCUCAAAGAAACAGCAGUCUCCAGACUUCCGAUUCUCACUGAGCUCCCUGCAACAAAAUAGCACUCUCCCAUCUGCAGAUGGCAUCCAAGCAAAGAUAGAAGCGCUGGUGCAACGGCUAAAGCCUGACAAUGUUGUUGAAGAAAUAUUGGUCGGACGUGGAACAAUAAACUUUAAAAUCAGCAGAUCAGUUUUGGCAGAGAAAAUUUUAGAAAAACUACAUGGGGAGGGUCACUCAUUUGGAGUGAAAAGUGAACUUUUUAGCAGUCUCCAGAAAGGAAGGACGCUGGUAGAGUUCAGUUCACCAAAUAUCGCCAAAAAGUUCCAUGCUGGACACCUACGUUCCACUAUAAUUGGUAACUUCAUUGCCAAUCUGAAAGAAACUGUGGGGAAUGAAGUCAUACGGGUGAAUUAUCUGGGGGACUGGGGCAUGCAGUUUGGGCUGCUGGGAGCUGGCUUUCAGCAUUUUGGUUCCGAGGAGAAACUAAGAGUGAACCCCUUACAGCACCUAUUUGAUGUGUAUGUCCGGGUCAACAGGGAGGCGGAGAGUGAUGAAAGCAUCUGGCUCGCAGCCAGAGAGUUCUUUCGAUGCCUGGAGCAAGGAGAGGAGCAGGCUCUGUCGUUAUGGCAACGCUUCAGAGACAUCACUAUAGAAGAGUACCAGCGGAUUUACAAGCGUUUAGGAGUCCACUUUGAUGAGUACUCGGGGGAGUCGUUCCAUCAGAGCCAGGCCAAGGAGGUGCUGCGGCAGCUUAAGGACCAGGGCCUGCUGCAAACCACUGAGAAGGGGACAGGAGUUGUGGAUCUCUCCCCAGCCAAAGACAUGUCUUACUACUCCACGGUGGUGCGUAGUGAUGGGACCUCUCUCUAUAUCACCAGAGAUAUUGCUGCAGCCAUUGCGCGCAAGGAAAAAUACGCAUUUGAUGAGAUGAUAUAUGUGACAGAUAAAAGCCAGAGUGGCCAUUUUCAGCAGAUGUUCCAGAUUCUCCAGGCCGUGGGAUAUGAGUGGGCACAGAGCUGUCUCCAUGUGCCCUUCGGCCUGGUGCAGGGCAUGAAGACGCGGCAGGGCGAGGUGGUCUUCCUGGAGGACGUGCUGGACGAGGCUCGCGCCAGGAUGCUGAGGAACAUGAAGGAAUCCAGGACCACUAAAGACCUGGAGGACCCUGAAGACACGGCACAGGAAGUGGGGAUCAGCGCUCUCAUAGUCCAGGACUUCAAAGGCCCGCUGGUAUCCGACUACGCGUUCAGCUGGGACCAAGUGCUCCAGGCCCAGGGGAACACGGGCGUGUUCCUGCAGUACACACAUGCCAGGCUGCGCAGCGGCCUUGUUUCAGCCUCAUCCGGAUGCAUGAGGGCAGUUUGGAGGCAGUCUUUGAUCCACAGCUUCUCCAGGAGCAGUGUAGCAUCAAUAUACUGCAGCACCUUCUACGGUAUGACGAGGUUCUGUACCGGUCAUUACAGGAUCUGCAGCCCAAGCACCUUGUCAACUUCCUCAUGACACUCUGCCACCUGGCAGCCACAGCCCACAGAGCACUGCCCGUAAAGGGCAGCCCCCCAGCACAAGCUCAGGCCAGGUUGCGGCUCUUCAGAGGCACAUGCACAGUGCUGGCCAAUGGGAUGAGGAUUCUAGGCAUUACACCUGUUGAGAAGAUGUGAUUGUAAAAGCUUUCAUCUUUAUGUUAUAAUGGUCAUAUCCUUAUGGAAAGAUAUUGAGCAAUAAAAUCCUUUGUAAUA